AGGGAGGAUUAUGAUCAAUAAAAAUACCAAAGAUAUCAGACCAAUAGGAACACUAGGAAUUCAGACUUUCUCAACAGAACUUUUCCCUUGAUAAACACGAGUACUUCACCUCAGCAUGCAACAACAGGAAUUUAUCAGUUUCUAUAGUACCACAUCAUAAAGAGGAUAUUCUUGCAUAUAACACAUUGCCUUUACAUAAGUCAAUUUUUAAAAAAAUUGUACUACUCUUUAGCUCAAUUGACUCUUUUUUGAAGUUAGACUUCUAGAAGGAUGCAGUGAGUCAACUUACAUUCUAGCACAAGCUCCUUAAUUUUGAUAACUAGUCUAGAAUGGGUUCCUGUAAUUGCAACAGUGUCAUCAGAACGUGCUCCCGCACAAAAACUUCAAAUCUCAUUUGCUGACAAUACAGGUAUAAUGUAUAAGCUUUAUAUAUAAUAAUAAUAAUAAACUCCUUGUGUUUGUUGGCAAUGAAGCCAAAAAAAUACUUCUUUAUUCCUAUUUUCAUCAUGUUUUAUAUCUG
rnacentral:lncRNA from 10 species